rnacentral:rRNA from 1 species
AUACGUAGGUGGCAAGCGUUGUCCGGAAUUAUUGGGCGUAAAGCGCGCGCAGGUGGUUCCUUAAGUCUGAUGUGAAAGCCCCCGGCUCAACCGGGGAGGGUCAUUGGAAACUGGGGAACUUGAGUGCAGAAGAGGAUAGUGGAAUUCCAAGUGUAGCGGUGAAAUGCGUAGAGAUUUGGAGGAACACCAGUGGCGAAGGCGACUUGCUUGCCUGAAACUGACUCUGAGGAGCGAAAGCGUGGGGCGCAAACAGGAGUAGAGGCCCCGGUAGUCCACUCCGGAAACGAUGUGUGCUGAGUGUCGUGGGGUUCCCGCCCCUCAGUGCUGCAGCUAACGUAUUAAGCACUCCGGCUGGGGAGUACGGUCGCAAGACUGAAACUCAAAUGAAUUGACGGGG